rnacentral:rRNA from 1 species
UACGUAGGCAGCGAGCGUUGUUCGGAGUUACUGGGCGUAAAGGGUGUGUAGGCGGUUUUCUAAGUUUGGUGUGAAAUCUCCCGGCUCAACCGGGAGGGUGCGCCGAAAACUGGGGAGACUAGAGUGCGGGAUGGGAGAGUAGAAUUCCUGGUGUAGCGGUGAAAUGCGUAGAUAUCAGGAGGAAUACCGGUGGUGUAGACGGCUCUCUGGACCGCCACUGACGCUGAGACACGAAAGCGUGGGUAGCAAACAGG